rnacentral:rRNA from 1 species
GAAGUUAGCGGCGGACGGGUGAGUAACACGUGGGUAACCUACCUAUAAGACUGGAAUAACUUCGGGAAACCGGAGCUAAUGCCGGAUAACAUUUGGAACCGCAUGGUUCUAAAGUAAAAGAUGGUUUUGCUAUCACUUAUAGAUGGACCCGCGCCGUAUUAGCUAGUUGGUAAGGUAACGGCUUACCAAGGCAACGAUACGUAGCCGACCUGAGAGGGUGAUCGGCCACACUGGAACUGAGACACGGUCCAGACUCCUACGGGAGGCAGCAGUAGGGAAUCUUCCGCAAUGGACGAAAGUCUGACGGAGCAACGCCGCGUGAGUGAUGAAGGUUUUCGGAUCGUAAAACUCUGUUAUUAGGGAAGAACAAAUGUGUAAGUAACUGUGCACAUCU